GUGUUGGUUUGUGGUGUUUCUGGAGGAACUGGACAACUGAAGGAGCUGCACGUACAUUAAAUUGCAGUCUGGAUAGACGGUGGACGGCGUGCGGGAGAGUUGGGGUCUAAGGAUGCUGCAGGGAUGACUGCAGGGAUCGUUGAGGGGACACGUGCCUGGGUAGACGUGGUGGGGACGACUGGAGUGACCAAUCAUACAUCUACGAUAAAAAAAAACAAUAUAAAAAGUAAAAGCAUUCGCUAUGCUUAACAUUGGUGUUUUCGGAAUAGAAAAUUGGAGAAGGGCUUAUAACUGGAGUUAGACCGUGAAGUGGAAAAAAUAGAAAUGGAUCCUAAUAGAGACAAAACAUACUUUAUACAGAUUAAGACGGAAUUAGACCAACUUGAGAAAGAGAAAUGUAAAGGUUCGAUUCUCAGGAGCAAAGCUCAUUAUACAAUAGAAGGAGAAAAAUGCACCAACAUUUUUUUAAAUCUGGAGAAGAGAAAGCAAGCUAAAAGUUACAUCUCAGAGCUUGAAACUGAUGAAGGGAAGAAGUUAACAGAUUUUGUUGACAUCCUUGAAACGGUCCAAUCUUAUUAUAAAAGGCUGUUUCAAAGAGAAGAUGUUGAUCAGACGAGUGUGAGAAAAGUUUUGAAGACAGUAAGAAGCAAACUUGCGGAAGAGGAUAAGCAAUUUUGUGAUGAGGAUGUACAAAUUGAGGAAAUAAAAGUGGCUAUUAAGCAGGCUAAGCCUGGCUAGAGCCCAGGUUGAGAUGGGUUUACGAAUGAGUUUUAUCAAACUUUCUCUGACAUAUUAGCACCUAUCCUAAGAAACCUGUUUUUUAUAUAUGGAAAAAAGAAGGGAUAUUCCAUUAUAAAUGGCAACAGGAGUCAUAACAAUCGUGUUUAAAAAUAAGGGUAGCCCUCUGAAGUUGGACAAUUAUAGACCAAUUAGUUUGUUGAAUACAGACUAUAAAAUUUUAGCUAAAGUCUUGGCUAACAGAUUAAAAGGAGUAGUAGGAACUAUUAUUUCACCAAUACAGGCUUAUGGUAUACCAGGCAGAGAUAUAACAGACACUAUAUGCUCAAUUAGAGACACGAGGAAGGGGGUGUCGUGCUGAGCCUUGACCUAAACAAAGCUUUCGAUAGAGUUGAGCAUAGCUAUUUAAAGAAAACUUGGAAACAUUUGGUUUUGGUCAGAGAAUGGUGGAUUGGAUUGGUCUUCUGUAUGGAAGUGCGAUAAGCCGUGUAAAACUUAAUGGUGUCCUUACAGAUACUUUCUCUGUGGAGCGUUCAGUUCGGCAGGGUUGCCCACUUUCAGUGAUCUUAUAUAGUAUUUCGGCAGAGCCAUUAGCAACAUUCAAAGAUAAUCAAGCAAUCAACUGUGUAAAGGACCCACAUGGCCAAAAGAGCUUAAUCUAUCAGUAUGCGGAUGACACAACAUUUACAGUUAGGGAUAUGGAAAGUAUAAAAAGAAUAAGAGUGGAUAUUGAAACUUAUGGGAAGGCGUCAGGGGCUAAAGUUAAUAACGACAAAUCCGAAAUGAUGGUAAUAGGGAAUAUUGAGGUUUCAAGGGAUGACAUACCAUACAAAUUGUGUACGGAUUUUGUUAAAAUCUUGGGGUUUUAUAUUGGGGUGUCUGUGACUGAGGCGAGGGAUCUGACCUGGACCGCCAUUUUAAAUAAAAUAAGGCAGUCUCUAAUGUUUUGGCGAUUAAGGAAACUUAAUCUAAGAGGGAAGGUAGUUGUUGUGAAUGCUCUGUUAUUGUCCAAACUCAAUUAUGUUUUGGGGGCUGUUGAUUUGCCUGACUGGGUCAUUAGCGAAGUAAGAAAGGUGGUGCGUACCUUCUUAUGGGGUGGGAAGAAAGUUGAAAUAGCGCACAAGACCUUGAUAGCAGACUACAGAGAGGGUGGCCUGAAGUUGGUCGAUUUGCAUACCAAAAGACAAUCAAUAAGAAUAAAAACUGUUAAAAAAUAUCUUUAUGAUAAAGUUGAAUAUGGAUGGAAAGGCUUAUUCAAAGAUUUUUUACAUAAAAUUGGGGGAUGUGGAGAGAGUGGUAUUUUCAUGGAAAUAAGGCGGGAUAUGAUGGGAGAAAUUCCAGCUUUCUAUUGUGAAGUGCUUAGUGCAUGGGCAGAAUUUAUUAAGUAUAUCCGUUAUGAUUGUGAAAAUAUUCACCAGAUUAUAGAUCAGCCAAUCUUCCUAAAUCCUAUGAUAAAAGUGCAAGGAAAAACAAUUUAUAAUAAAUAUUUAAUGUCGGCAGGGAUAAGUAAGAUAAGGGACAUUAUAUACGAGUUUGUACCGGGGUUCUUGCCAAAUAGAGCUAUUCAAGAAAUAGUUAUGGAUAGAGAUAAUAAAAUUAGUGCAACAAUGGUUGAUAAAGUAUUUGACAACAUUAGACUAGGUUUGCCAAAAGCAAAAAAUACUGAAAAUACUGUACAGACAGAGAAUGCGCAUUAUCGUGAGGACAGAAUCCCAGAUUUUUUCAUUGUGAUAAUGGCAAAAAGGAAACAUUUGUCAGAAGCAAAAGUUAAAUGUGUAUACAAAAUCUUGCUAGAAAGUGAAUUAAAACCUCCAGCCUCAGAAAAGAUGUGGACAGAGGUUUUCCAAAAGCAUAGUGUUGAAGACAUUUGGAGGACCUUGAACGUCAGGUAUAAUUGUUUGGACUGUAAAAAUUUGGAAUUUAAAUUGAGACAUAAAAAGGAUAUACACAAAUGUGAUGUUGCAUCAAAUCAAUGGGGAUGUUAAAAGGGCCUCUGCUGAGCCCUCCAAUCUCGUCAGUUCACAGCAGCACAACACUUCACCGUCUGGACCGUCAGUACAUGUUGACACAUUGUUCUUUCUCCUUUCCCCUCUCACUGUGUCUGUCCCAUUGUCUUUCCUCAGUAUGUCGAGAGCCAAGACGUAUCUCCUGCCUCCCCCGUGGAGGAGGAGGAGGAGAAGAAGAAGGAGGAGAUGAUGCUGAAGCCCAGGAAAUGGAUUAUCCUUGGGGUUGUAUGCCCAACAAAGGGAAGCUCCUCUUACGCUCGAGUGCCUCGCGCACUUGGAACAGCGGAAGAGGGAGGGGUAACAUUAUUCACCGGGUGCUCUUGCCCUGCUCCAUGGGUAAUUAUUAUCAUGGUCUUUCCUGCCUCUGCGUCCCCGCCUGGAGUCGGCGUGUCUCACUCAUGACACUCAUGACUCAUGACAUUUCUCCUCUUAGAGACAUACAUCGAGAGUUACAAGAGCUAUUACACCAACAGGUACGGGAGCAGGAAAAUAGAUAAGGGUGUGAUCAGCAGGAUCAGCCGCCUCAAGGGUUUGCUGCGCUACAUGGAAGUUUGUCUAUAACCCUGCCCGUGUCAACAGGUGAGAUCAGUUGCCCAUUUCAAACCAUGUCUGACAGUGUCGCUUUCCCUCUACAGAUGGAUAAUGGAGCUAAGCAGCAACCAAAAAAAGAUAACCACUGUGCACUUCUACAUCUACCAAAUCUGCCAAUUCAUGAGCUACAUGAAGAGGAGCCGCCCUAACAGCUGCAGGAUGGCGAAUACACAGACUUUGAAGUUGCUGGAGCUGCUGGAAAAUGGCAAGGGGAACACUAAACUGCCAAUUACGCUUCACCAAAACAAGGUGACGCGUGCCAAGAGCAGGAGAUGAUCCUCAGAUGCACCCGCCUGGCACCCAGAUUUAUCGAAAACGCCUUGGACGAGCUGGAGAAAGACCCACGUCAGACCACCCUCCACUACCAGCUCCAUGGCUACCUUACUGCUUACUGGGUGUGCAUUAAGUGGCCACAGGCCAGGCGUCUUCACAAACAUGCAGAACAACCAGGUGAAUGCAGGAGCAAAGGAGAAUACGCCACAGGGGGUCCUUAUCAGGAGGUGCUGUUGCUGCUGUGAAGAGCCUAUAUGUGACCAGUACAUAUCCUGUUCCACGCAGGUAUUUGUUUUAUUUUGCUGCCUUUCUUUUAAAUAUAAAUGUAUUAUUGUGGCCUUUAUAUGCAAGACGGGCACGAGAGGUGCUGUUGCUGCUGUGAAGAGCCUAUAUGUGACCAGUACAUAUCCUGUUCCACGCAGAUUAAACGCAUCAUUCCACAUCUUCCGUCUCUUGGCCAUCUUUAAAACACAACGCGGAGGUAUUAUACUAGGAAAACACGAAAACAAGACUACUUCUAUCUGGACCGAGCUGAACAAACAGACGGCCAAGUUCAGUACGGUUACACCUAGUAGAGAGGAUUUGUUAAUGGAAAUAUUGUGUUAA